rnacentral:lncRNA from 1 species
GAGAGAAGGAGAUAAGUGUGGGGUGAGAGAUUAGAUGAUAAUGUUCCUUUUUGCAUGAAAAAUAACAUAUCAUACAAGAAAGAGGGGGUGAGGGGAUUAAUGGUGGAGGGGAGUGGAUUGGAGUUACAAAACUCACUAAUUGGUGAAAUAUAAUGUAUGUAAUUAAAUGUGGAGAUGUGAAAGAUUGAGCAUUUAGAAGUGGAGAUUAAUAGUGGAGGGGAGUGGAUUGGAGUUACAAAGCUUACUAAUUGAUAGAAUAUGAUGCAUGUAAUUAAAUGUGGAGAGGUGAAGGGUUUAGCAUAGCAUUUAGAAGUGCUGAUUAAUGGUGGAGAGGAGUGGAUUGGAGUUACAAAGCUCACUAAUUGGUGGAAUAUAAUGCAUGUAAUUAAAUAUAGAGAGGUAAACGGUUAAGCAUUUAGAAGUGGAGCAGAAACGUAAAUUUUAUAUUGGGGAUUCAUAUAAGAGAUGGAUAUUAUCUAUUAACCUAAGAAUGAAGGGUUUCUUGCCACGUGGCAAGAAAUAUUGUGGAUUCAUUAUGUUUAAUAGAUUCUCUAUUUGUUCUUAUCU